ACACAUACACAUGCACACACAUACGACGAUUAUGCGAUUUUCCGCUCGAGAUUAAACGCUGAAAAAUACGCUGAAUUCUCGAGAAAAGAUAACACCAAAUUUUCAACGUAUUUGCUCGAUGACUCAGUCCGUAUCACGAACGUUUAACGGUUAAUCACCGAUCGAACGCACUUUCACGAAUCACGUUGAAGAUAAAAU